GGUUAAGUUAGAAAGGGCGCACGGUGAAUGCCUUGGCACUAGGAGCCGAUGAAGGACGGGACUAACACCGAUAUGCUUCGGGGAGCUGUAAGUGAGCUUUGAUCCGGAGAUUUCCGAAUGGGGAAACCCACUGUUCGUAAUGGAACAGUAUCUUUAUCUGAAUACAUAGGAUAUUGAAGGCAGACCCGGGGAACUGAAACAUCUAAGUACCCGGAGGAAGAGAAAGCAAAUGCGAUUUCCUGAGUAGCGGCGAGCGAAACGGAAUUAGCCCAAACCAAGAGGCUUGCCUCUUGGGGUUGUAGGACACUCUAUACGGAGUUACAAAGGAACGAAGUAAAUGAAGCGACCUGGAAAGGUCCGUCGAAGAAGGUAACAACCCUGUAGUUGAAACUUCGUUCCCUCUUGAGUGGAUCCUGAGUACGGCGGAACACGUGAAAUUCCGUCGGAAGCUGGGAGGACCAUCUCCCAAGGCUAAAUACUACCUAGUGACCGAUAGUGAACCAGUACCGUGAGGGAAAGGUGAAAAGCACCCCGGAAGGGGAGUGAAAGAGAUCCUGAAACCGUGUGCCUACAAGUAGUCAGAGCCCGUUAACGGGUGAUGGCGUGCCUUUUGUAGAAUGAACCGGCGAGUUACGAUCCCAUGCAAGGUUAAGCUGAUAAGGCGGAGCCGUAGCGAAAGCGAGUCUGAAUAGGGCGUUUAGUAUGUGGUUGUAGACCCGAAACCAGGUGAUCUACCCAUGUCCAGGGUGAAGUUCAGGUAACACUGAAUGGAGGCCCGAACCCACGCACGUUGAAAAGUGCGGGGAUGAGGUGUGGGUAGCGGAGAAAUUCCAAUCGAACCUGGAGAUAGCUGGUUCUCUCCGAAAUAGCUUUAGGGCUAGCCUCAUGUUGUGAGAGUCUUGGAGGUAGAGCACUGAUUGGACUAGGGGCCCCCAACGGGUUACCGAAUUCAGUCAAACUCCGAAUGCCAAAGACUUAUCCAUGGGAGUCAGACUGCGAGUGAUAAGAUCCGUAGUCAAAAGGGAAACAGCCCAGACCACCAGCUAAGGUCCCCAAGUAUACGUUAAGUGGAAAAGGAUGUGGAGUUGCUUAGACAACCAGGAUGUUGGCUUAGAAGCAGCCACCAUUUAAAGAGUGCGUAAUAGCUCACUGGUCGAGUGACUCUGCGCCGAAAAUGUACCGGGGCUAAACGUAUCACCGAAGCUGUGGAUUGACAUCUUAGAUGUCAGUGGUAGGAGAGCGUUCUAAGUGCAGCGAAGUCAGACCGUAAGGACUGGUGGAGCGCUUAGAAGUGAGAAUGCCGGUAUGAGUAGCGAAAGACAAGUGAGAAUCUUGUCCACCGAAUGCCUAAGGUUUCCUGAGGAAGGCUCGUCCGCUCAGGGUUAGUCGGGACCUAAGCCGAGGCUGAAAAGCGUAGGCGAUGGCCAACAGGUUGAUAUUCCUGUACCACCUCCCCGCCGUUUGAGUAAUGGGGGGACGCAGUAGGAUAGGGUAAGCGCGCUGCUGGAUAUGCGCGUUCAAGCAGUUAGGCUGAUGAGUAGGCAAAUCCGCUCAUCAUAAAGGCUGAGCUGUGAUGACGAGGGAAUUAUAGUACCGAAGUUCCUGAUUCCACACUGCCAAGAAAAGCCUCUAGCGAGGCGGGAGGUGCCCGUACCGCAAACCGACACAGGUAGGCGAGGAGAGAAUCCUAAGGUGAUCGAGAGAACUCUCGUUAAGGAACUCGGCAAAAUGACCCCGUAACUUCGGGAGAAGGGGUGCUCUGGUAGGGUGUAUAGCCCGAGAGAGCCGCAGUGAAUAGGCCCAGGCGACUGUUUAGCAAAACACAGGUCUCUGCGAAGCCGCAAGGCGAAGUAUAGGGGCUGACGCCUGCCCGGUGCUGGAAGGUUAAGAGGAGGGGUUAUCCUUUGGGAGAAGCUCUGAAUCGAAGCCCCAGUAAACGGCGGCCGUAACUAUAACGGUCCUAAGGUAGCGAAAUUCCUUGUCGGGUAAGUUCCGACCCGCACGAAAGGCGUAACGAUCUGGGCACUGUCUCAACGAGAGACUCGGUGAAAUUAUAGUACCUGUGAAGAUGCAGGUUACCCGCGACAGGACGGAAAGACCCCGUGGAGCUUUACUGUAGCCUGAUAUUGAAUUUUGGUACAGCUUGUACAGGAUAGGUAGGAGCCUGAGAAGCCGGAGCGCUAGCUUCGGUGGAGGCGUCGGUGGGAUACUACCCUGGCUGUAUUGAAAUUCUAACCCGCGGCCCUGAUCGGGCCGGGAGACAGUGUCAGGUGGGCAGUUUGACUGGGGCGGUCGCCUCCUAAAAUGUAACGGAGGCGCCCAAAGGUUCCCUCAGAAUGGUUGGAAAUCAUUCGUAGAGUGUAAAGGCACAAGGGAGCUUGACUGCGAGACCUACAAGUCGAGCAGGGACGAAAGUCGGGCUUAGUGAUCCGGUGGUUCCGCAUGGAAGGGCCAUCGCUCAACGGAUAAAAGCUACCCCGGGGAUAACAGGCUUAUCUCCCCCAAGAGUCCACAUCGACGGGGAGGUUUGGCACCUCGAUGUCGGCUCAUCGCAUCCUGGGGCUGUAGUCGGUCCCAAGGGUUGGGCUGUUCGCCCAUUAAAGCGGUACGCGAGCUGGGUUCAGAACGUCGUGAGACAGUUCGGUCCCUAUCCGUCGUGGGCGUAGGAAAUUUGAGAGGAGCUGUCCUUAGUACGAGAGGACCGGGAUGGACACACCGCUGGUGUACCAGUUGUCUUGCCAAAGGCAUCGCUGGGUAGCUAUGUGUGGACGGGAUAAGUGCUGAAAGCAUCUAAGCAUGAAGCCCCCCUCAAGAUGAGAUUUCCCAUAGCGCAAGCUAGUAAGAUCCCUGAAAGAUGAUCAGGUUGAUAGGUCAGAGGUGGAAGCGUGGCGACAUGUGUAGCUGACUGAUACUAAUCGAUCGAGGACUUAACCAA
rnacentral:rRNA from 1 species